AUUGUGUUCAGCUGUUGAUCAAUAAAGUUGCGAAUUUGAAUCAGCCAUUUUGUUAAUUCGGUACCUGAUGAAGACAGACACGAUAUAUCUGCCUCCAUCCUUGUUUGUUUUGCUCUUCAAGAAGCACAAAGUCAGGUUCAUCACAGCUCUAGAAGACAAAGCCUGAUUGGACACGUGGGUGCCUUGGUGGUCGCAAGCCACCGUGUUGGGGAGGUAGAAGACGCCUGAAAAACAACUGGAAUGUUACAAGGAUGGCUGCCGUUGGCCGAGGGGGACCGUUAGGACCAUCCCAAGCCCCCCGCCCCCUCGACUGCCAGGGGCCCGAAAUAGGAUGUUGGACCGUUCUAUGACUCCUGAUCGGCAUUGGUUCAUCCGUGAGAAUAAUGGAGCAUCAACACGAACGCUUCCCUUCUACAUCAACUUGAGGCGUACGAAAACAAAGGAGGUGGAGAUGCAGUUGGAGAUGUACAGGUGGAUGAACUCUGGGGGCAGGUCCACCGCCGUGGUCAGGCUUGGGGGGGAGGGAGGGGGGACAAGGUCAUGUGACCAUAUACACAGUUAUACUUAAAGCAUAAAUGAUGGCCAUUGGAAGAGAUGAUUUCAGUGUUAAUACGCCUUAGAGCACGGGUGUCCAAAGUGUGGCAACGGGCCACGUUCUUAAAAAUGGAUUUUAACUAAAAUGGAUUUAAAAAAACGGCAAAUAAAGUCCUAUUUUAUGAGAGAAAUGUCAUCUAAAAAAAGUCAGAAUUUUACAAAAAUAAAAUCAUAAUAUGUGGAAAAAUAACAAUUUUAGUAGUACAAUAUUUAAAUAUUACAUUUGUUAUUUUUUUCUUAAGUUGUAUUUGUAUAUUGUUGUAUAUUACAAGACAUUAAAAAUUAGUAAUUUGGGUGAAAUUAUGUCACGGAAAAAGUU